rnacentral:rRNA from 1 species
GGGUCAGUAGGUUGGUCGUGCCACCGGUACGUACUGGUCUCACUGAUUCCUCCUUCCUGAAGAACCGUAAUGCCAUUAAUUUGGUGUUGCGGGGAAACAGGACUGUUACUUUGAAAAAAUUAGAGUGCUUAAAGUAAGCUAACGCUUGAAUACAUUAGCAUGGAAUAAUGAAAUAGGACGAUCGAUCCUAUUUUGUUGGUUUCUAGGAUUGACGUA